UACGUAGGGUGCGAGCGUUGUCCGGAAUUAUUGGGCGUAAAGAGCUUGUAGGCGGUCUGUCGCGUCUGCUGUGAAAAUCCGGGGCUCAACCCCGGACUUGCAGUGGGUACGGGCAGACUAGAGUGUGGUAGGGGAGACUGGAAUUCCUGGUGUAGCGGUGAAAUGCGCAGAUAUCAGGAGGAACACCGAUGGCGAAGGCAGGUCUCUGGGCUGACACUGACGCUGAGGAGCGAAAGCGUGGGGAGCGAACAGG
rnacentral:rRNA from 1 species